UAUGCGGCAACCAUCACUAAACGUACCUAUAUAUUAAAACUAAGGAUUAUUCCAAAUAUCUUUCGCACGCCCAUGCGUGACGCGUGGACCGAAUAUUUUUCUACUCGGUCCUCGGUAAAUAGAUUCAAAGAUUUCCCUUCCAUAAUAUUUUUAUGGAAAUAAAAAAGUUGACUUACGUCUGUUAACGGUAGUGGCUUGGGAUUAGCUGAGAAAAAAAAUCGAGUUUUUACACGAAUAAGGCGAAAGCACCGAGUAUGUUACAAAAGGAGAAAAAACCAUUUUCGUCUCGACGGCCGCAAGUGCAACACGCCGAGGGGACGUAAUAAAAUAUGUGGAACAGCUUAUUUCGUGGAAAAUAAUAUAUAAAACAUGUCUUACACAUGUACGAUUUUUAUUCCGUUUCGUCUUGUUUA